GGGCGGCUGCACUGUAACGGCUGCUCUGUAACCGAGAUUAUUUACCCCUGCCGUCCAUUGCUUUAUUAUUAGUAUAUGUCAACAAUGUGCACAGAAUGGUCGACACACUUUCACCUGCACCCAUCAGGAAACGGGAGAAAGGUUUGAAGUGGGACAUCAAGUUACGUCCACAACUACGAGGGUGGGGCUGAAGGGCUCGACCACUGUUGAGCUGCUGCAUCAUAGCUGCACAGUGUCAUAUCACCAACCCAUGAAAGCUAGAAGUCACCCUGCUGCUCCAGAUCUACCUACUGUGUGGCUGGCUACAGACUACAACCAUCUGC